rnacentral:rRNA from 1 species
AGCUCCAAUAGCGUAUAUUAAAGUUGUUGCGGUUAAAAAGCUCGUAGUUGGAUUUCUGUUGAAGACCGGCGGUCCACCUUUUGGGUGAGUAUCUGCUUGGGCUUCGGCAUCUUCUCGGAAUACGUUGCUGCGCUUGAUUGCGUGGUUCGGAGUCCGGGACUUUUACUUUGAGGAAAUUAGAGUGUUCACGGCAGGCAUACGCCUUGAAUAUAUUAGCAUGGAAUAAUAAUAUAGGAUCUUGGUUCUAUUUUGUUGGUUUCUAGAGCUAAGA